UACGUAGGGGGCAAGCGUUGUCCGGAAUCAUUGGGCGUAAAGAGCGUGUAGGCGGCCCGAUAAGUCCGCUGUGAAAGUCCAGGGCUCAACCCUGGGAUGCCGGUGGAUACUGUCGGGCUCGAGUCCGGAAGAGGCGAGUGGAAUUCCUGGUGUAGCGGUGAAAUGCGUAGAUAUCAGGAGGAACACCUGUGGCGAAAGCGGCUCACUGGACCACAACUGACGCUGAUGCACGAAAGCUAGGGGAGCAAACAGG
rnacentral:rRNA from 1 species